UAUCAGUCAGUCAGUCACUUCUUUGGAGGUAUUUCUGAAUCUGACCAGGAUCCCUUGUGUGGGGGCCCACACCCUGCUUAUAGAUUAUGACUCACCAACAAGAACAGCCUCCACAGCGCCCAAAGAGGAGGUUCAAAAGAGUUAACCAGGAAGUCACAGUGCAAUGUCGAUAUUUUGAGGGGAAAACGGCAUGACACACAAAAUACAAUAUAUGCCUGCUGCUUUCAAGAUACUUCAAUGCUACCAGCUGUGCUCCAGUCACAAUUGAUGAUCCCCCCCCUCAUGCCACGGCAAACAGCCAACGCAGCACGCAUUGCAGCAGGCUCCUACUCUGUCCAAUGAACAUCUGAUGCAAUGUUCAUUUUUAAUGGAGAAUCGAUCGGUGUAAAUCAGAGGCAGAUAGGGCCCUUUCUGGGAUAAUCUGAUACGAAAGCUUGGCAUUCCCAGCCCUAUUUACAGCUGGGGCCUGCUGGAAUUAGUUGGGCUGCUCUUUGGUUCCAAGGCUCUGGGGUAGAGAGGGAGGGGGUGAAAAGGUGGGGUGUUGUUGGGAAAGAGAGGUGGAAGGGGUAAUCGACAAAUCUAUUCCUACACUUGGCUUGUCUGGCUACCAGGGACUGAAGGAUGUCAGAUGGACUGACCACUCAGAACAAAGGGCAACUUCGUACCAUGUGCAUUUAAUAUGUUAAGCAGACCAGUCAAAUAAAUCCACAGACAUUGUUGCAUAGAUACUAUGAAAUGCUAUCUGUGGUUACAGAAAGUAAUAACUUUUCGGGUCAGAUACCCUACCAAAAGUACACCAUCCACACUUCAUGGUCUUAUGCAUGUGUAUGUAUUUUUGUAAUAGCCAUGCACAUGAGUGGAAGUGCAACUGCUCCUUGGCUCUUAAUUAAAUGCAGGUUAUAACUUGUCUUCAGCACCCUGUAUGUCUUCCAGUCUGAUGUCGCAGUGACUAGAUGGCAAAUUAACCUUUUUACAUCAUGUUUAUUGACCACUCACAAGCUCUCCUUGACAUCUUUCCAAUAUCCUCAGUUAAAAGAAGUGUUCCAUAUCAUUCCCCGUAUGAAGCUGCACAAAUUAUACCGUCCACACAGAGAUGGGCUUGUCGGGCAGGCUUUAACUACAGUUCUCUCGAUGAACGUCUCUGUGGCCUUCAAGAUUCACUGACAGCUCAUGUUUGUUGUCAAAGACAGGAAAUACAACUGAAUAGAAUGCAUUUCAGCAUACUAAAAGCUGUAAUUUCAAUUGGACCUUUUGUAAACAAGUAACGUCUAGCGAGAUGGACAAAAUAACAGAAAUAAAAUGUUUUUGUCCAAUUA